ACGCGUCACAGCUGUCAUCUGCCAGGGGCUCGGCUUAUAUCGGCUGCUAUCGACAAGGCUGAGCUGAUUGUCACGAUGUCUGGUAAAGCAAUAGGUGGAGGUGGAAAGCAAGUAAACACAUCUCCCAACGUUUCUUCUUCAUGUCCAACAGGUAUGUGAAUAUACCAAUUUAGUUACACAAAACACUAAAUUGCUACACUGAUAACCCGCAAGGUCGAUUCCCGCAAGGUCGAUUCCUGCAAGAUGUACAAGUAAACCGACAAUGUGAAAUUCCUGAUCCCACAGUAGACACAAUGUCGUACCUCCUCUUCGACUUCCAGGCCCGCAAGGUGCAGGACCGGGAAAUCCACAACAACAAAGUGAAAAUUAUGAUCCCAGACUAGACACAAUGUCGUACCCCUCUUUUCGACCUCCAGGCCCGCAAGGUGCAGGACCGGGAAAUCCACAACAACAAAGUGAAAAUUAUGAUCCCAGACUAGACACAAUGUCGUACCCUCCUCUUCGACUUCCAGGCCCGCAAGGUGCAGGACCGGGAAAUCCACAACAACAAACACCAUUUAACAAACUUGCUUAGACGAAGCUGAGUCAGCAGUUUUCGAAGACUUCUUCAUCUCAUCAAAAAACCAAAAACGUCGGAACUUGAGAGGGCCAUGUACACAUCCUCAUGUGGGUCUGACUAUUAGCAGUUCUUACAAGGUUGUCUUCGGAUAAUGUGAAAGUCAUUUAAUCAGUUUGUCAUCGUGUAUUUUGCUGAAAGCAUUAAUAAAUUAAAUUUUUAUUAAUUUCGUUGUAUAACAACAAAGGUGCAUAAAUUGGAGAAUUAAAACAGUUCCGUAACCA